UACGGAGGGUGCAAGCGUUAUCCGGAUUCACUGGGUUUAAAGGGUGCGUAGGUGGGUUGGUAAGUCAGUGGUGAGAUCCCCGAGCUUAACUUGGGAACUGCCAUUGAUACUAUUAAUCUUGAAUACUGUGGAGGUUAGCGGAAUAUGUCAUGUAGCGGUGAAAUGCUUAGAUAUGACAUAGAACACCAAUUGCGAAGGCAGCUAGCUACACAAAUAUUGACGCUGAGGCACGAAGGCGUGGGGAU
rnacentral:rRNA from 1 species